CUUGCUGUAUGCUAGCAGGCUCUGUGCAUGCUGCAGCUGGAGCACUGAGCACAGCGCUUGCUUGCAGCCCGUACAUCUGCUACAGGGACUGAGCUGGGGCUGUGUUCAGUGCCGCAAGGCUAGAAAGGGGACAGAGCCUGGGGGUGCAGAGCAAGGAUUUUCUCAAACAGGAAGCAACUGUGACCACCUGAAACCUGAGAUCCUGCUCCUGCUGUUUCAAGCUAAUUUGCAUCAUCACAAAUCCUCACAGGCGGUGAGAGGCUCCGUACCAGCUAUGCAUUCACUGCCCAGAGGAGUAUUCCAUCUGUUGACUCCUUGUGAAAUCCUAUGAAAUAUGAACUUUCAUUUCUACCCAGGAGAACUUUUACAAUCUUUUCUCCAAUGUCUGAUGAAGGGUGUUUGUGCCCAAAAGCUUGCAACUAAAGAACUUUUUUUUGCAAAAAUUUUGUUGGUCUAAUAGAAGAUAUCAUCUGUACUAUGAGUCUUGAUUGCUUUAAUUAGAAUGCCUGCAGCAUCUUGCGUGUUCAGCACCCCACAUUUCAAAAUAGCAGAGGAGGCACUUUAACUAAAACUCAUUUGACAAGCUUUAGUUAAAGUGCUCCACUGCCAUUUUGAAACAUGGGACACUGAAUACAUGAGGCAAUGCAGCAUGCUGGAGCAUUCCGAUUAGAAUGCUUCAGCAGACUCAAUUAAUCGAGUCUGCUCUGAUGUAUUCUGAUUAGAAAGCGUCAGAGCACAUGUAAAAGUUGUACUACACUAAGCAGACCUUCUAAUCAAUCUGAAAGAAAUGAAUGCCUAACCAACAGUAUGUCCUGCACUAUUUCCAAGUACUCUUAGCACUGGCACUAUUUUAAACUUUAAAAUACUUAGACUUGUCUUAAUUCCUUGUCUGAGAUUUAGUAAAUAAACUCCCAUUAGUCUGUUUAAAUAUUUCUAAAGAUAAGUACCACUAUAAACAGGUAUUACAUUUUGUACCUAACCUUUAUUUAUCUUCCCCCAUAAUUCCACCCAUUGACUAAACCCAUGAGAGUGUAGUUGUGGUUUUAAAAAUGUAUUAAACCUUCAGGAUCAGAAGUUUGACAAAACAAAAUUAAUCUUGGGGAUAUUUUAAGUUGACAUAAAUAUGGUUAGAAUAAUGGGACAAUAGGAUUGAACUUCACCAACUAGAACCGAAGACUAGAGUGCUUGCACAUCUAGGUUUAUAUGCCACAAACUCAUUUUUAACUCACUAGUAUUCAGGUAGAAAGUCAGAAGCAUGUGGUCUCUGAGUGUGUAUGGAUUGUGGGUAUGAUUCAUUCCUUUACCAGGAGCUGUAGGCGUAUAAUGAGUUGCUGAGCUCAUGAGGUGCCUGAAGGAAACAGUCUUCUCUCACAGGAAAAAAAAGAAGUCUCGUCUUUACUUGUCUAGUGAGGUACCAGUGGAGCAGGUUCCCAUUUUCAAGAAAAGGGGUAGUUGUUCUUUCAUUGCUUAACCUUUUUUUCUUACCUGUGGGGAAUUUUUAGCAUAAAAUUGUGAAUAGUUCUUAAUAUAAAUAAAAAUAUAUUUUAAAUGUU